rnacentral:tRNA from 1 species
GCCAACAUAGCUCAGCUGGUAGAGCUACUGAUUUGUAAUCAGUGGGUCGGGGGUUCGACUCCCUCUGUUGGCUCCA